ensembl:lncRNA
GCUUUGCCUGCUGGGAAUAUACCCAUUUUAUGGAAGAGGAAAUCGAGGUUCACGUGAAGUUGUUUGCCCAGGGUCACCCAUCAAGUGGACUCGGCCUCUGUCCGUAGGAGCAUACUGCUUCCCUUGGGGAAUAAACUCUUCCCGUAUCACGCUUUCCUGGCCCCAUGGAGAGCCAGCAGUCUGGGCCCUCCGUGUUUGGUAGAGUUCAACAGUGAAGAUACUUGGACUUGCAGUUUUCUUUGUGGAAAGGUUUUAACCUAUUAAUUCAAUUUCUUUAAUAAAUUUAGGGCUGGUUGUGUUAUCUAUUUUCUCUUGAGUGAGCUUUGGUAGUUUGUAUCUGUUAGGGGCUGAACUGUGCCUCCCCCAAAUUCAGAUGUUGAAGUUCUGACACUCAGUACUUCAUAACGUGACUGAAUUCAGGACAGGGCCUUUAGAGAGGUAAUUAAGUUAAAAUGACAUUAGGGUGGGCCCUAAUCCAGUAGGACUGGUGUUCUUAAGAGGAGAUUAGGACAUGGACUUGCACACAGGAAGACCGUGUGAAGGUACAGGGAGAGGAGGACCAUCGACAGGCCAAGGAGAGAGGCCUCAGAAGAAACCAAGCCUAUUGAUACAUUGAUCUCAUACUUCUAGCUUCCAGAAAGGUGAGAAAAUUAAUUUCUGUUGAUUAAGAUGCCCAGUCUGUGGUCCUUCAUUGUGGCAGUCCUAGCAAAGUAACAAUCUUUCAAGGAAUUUGUCUAUUUCACUAAGUUGUCAAAUUUAUUAGCGAAAAUUAUUUAGGGAAAUGAAAAUGGCAACUACAAGAGAUCCUACCUCAUGCUCAUUAGGAUGGCUACUAUCAAAAAAAAAGAAAAAAGGGAAUAACAGAUGUUGAUGGGGAUAUGGAGAAAUUGGAACCCCUGUGCACUUUUGAUGGGAAGGUAAAAUGUUACAGCUACUGUGGAAAACAGUAUGGCAGUUCCUCAAAAAAUUGAAAUCAGAAUCUCAAAGAUAUAUUUGUACAUUCAUGUUCACAGGAGCAUUAUUCACAAUAGCUAAAAUGUGACAGCAACCCAGGUGUCCAUGGAUACAUGAAUGAAUAAGAAAAAUGUGAUAUAUACAUGCAGUGGAAUAUUCAACCUUAAAAAGGAACGAAAUUUUGACGUAUGCUAUAACGUGGAUGAGCCUUGAGGACAUUAUGCUGAGUAAAAUAAGCCAGUCACAAGAAGAUAAAUAUUGUAUAACUCCACUUAUAUGAGGUGUAGACGUCUGUAACUACCACUGCAUUCAAGAUACAGAGCUGUUCCACCACCACUAUCAUGCUGCUCAUUCAUAGUCACAGUCCUCUUCCGCCCAAUUAAUCUCCUGGCAACCCCUGGCAACCGUUAAUGUCUUUUCCAUCUCAAUAAUGUUGUCAUUUCGAGAAUGUUAUAUAAAUGGAAUCAUACAUGGCACCUUUUGGGACUGGCUUUUUUCAUUCAGCAGAAUGCCCUUGAGAUCUCUCCAAGAGGCAAGUUUUUGUAAUCAAUGAAAGCUAGGCAGCCAUGGGUUGAACGCUGCUUGUAUUGACAUGCUUUUUGGCUUAAAUUGGAGUUGCCGGCUUCCCUGGAACUCCCAACUCGUUUCUUAAGGAGAAACUUCUAUAAACUUUAUAUCUUUGAAGCUUAAAUCCUCUGGAAAAGUGUACGAUGUGGCAUCUGAAACAUCCCAUGGCCUGAAGGCUACUCCAAUUUAUCUAUCUUCCUCCAGCCAACUGCUGAACUGGAUUUUCUUGUAUUGAAAUCCCUAGCCCAAAAAUCCUGGAAUGCUGGGGAGCGAGCAGUCCUGAGGAGUCAGUGGAAAUGGGGUUCCUGCUGCAGAAAUGACAGCAGAGUCCUUCCACCCCCUGUGAGCCCUGUGGAGCAGCCAGCGGUUCCCUGUUGCUAGACACCAUAUGGAAGACUUGGUGGGAAAAGCAUGCUAAAGGGGACUGAAUUCCCUGGAGCAAGGCCAGCUGGAGGACGGCAUCUGCCACCUGUGUGGCAUCUCCAGCUCCUUCAGAACAGCAGGAAAAAAGGGAGUCCCUGCAGCAGGGAGGCAAAGAUCUCCGCUGCCUGGCAGAGCCAUGUCCACAAAGCUGCCUUCCUCCACCAUCCAGCCUGCUCCAUCUCAACCGAGACCGCUCUUGGGAGGAAAGAGUGAGCAUUUGCUCUCUAGGGUGGUGGACAAUGUCAAGACUUGGGCAUCGAAUGGGGAUGUAUUUGAUCCUGCUGUAACAUUUAUGGUUUUUUCUACUUCUUAAAAAAUAUUAUGAAAUUUUAAAAAUAUACAGAAAAGUAAAGAGACUAUGAGAACAGACGUUGGUGUGCCCAUCAACAACUUUUCUUGAUCGAACCCUAACGUCCUGCCGUACAUGCUUUAUGUAUUUUUAAAACAGCAAAACCUAACAAAUACUCUUGAAACAAUGUUGUUUUCCUUUUUCUAGUGAGUUUUAGGAGUUGUUUAUAAAUUAUAGAAUCUCAUCCUGGCAGUUAUAUGUGUUACAAAUAUCAUUUUCCAAAUUAUAACUUCCCAUUUUAUUUAUC